rnacentral:lncRNA from 1 species
CGGUGUGGACAAGGUUUCUGCCGGUGAGGACAAGGUCCCUGGCGGUGAGGACAAGGUUCCUGGCGGUGAGGACAAGGUUCCUGGCGGUGAGGACAAGGUUCCUGGCGGUGAGGACAAGGUUCCUGGCGGUGAGGACGAGGUUCCUGGCGGUGAGGACAAGGUUCCUGGCGGUGAGGACGAGGUUCCUGGCGGUGAGGACGAGGUUCCUGGCGGUGAGGACAAGGUUCCGGC